rnacentral:rRNA from 1 species
UACGAGGGGGGCAAGCGUUGUUCGGAAUUAUUGGGCGUAAAGGGCGCGUAGGCGGUGCGGUAAGUCACCUGUGAAACCUCUAGGCUUAACCUAGAGCCUGCAGGCGAAACUGCCGUGCUUGAGGGUGGGAGAGGUGCGUCGGAAUUCCCGGUGGUAGCGGUGAAAUGCGUAGAUAUCGGGAGGAACACCAGUGGCGAAGGCGGCGACCUGGGCCAAUAUUGACGCUGAGGUGCGAAAGCGUGGG